rnacentral:rRNA from 1 species
GCGAGGAAUAUUGGUCAAUGGACGAGAGUCUGAACCAGCCAAGUCGCGUGAAGGAAGACGGUUCUAUGAAUAGUAAACUUCUUUUGUGCAGGAAUAAAGCGGGUUACGUGUAACCUUUUGUAUGUACUGUACGAAUAAGGAUCGGCUAACGCCGUGCCAGCAGCCGCGGUAAUACGGAGGAUCCGAGCGUUAUCCGGAUUUAUUGGGUUUAAAGGGUGCGUAGGUGGAUUGAUAAGUCAGCGGUGAAAGUUUGCAGCUUAACUGUAAAAUUGCCGUUGAAACUGUCGGUCUUGAGUGCAAAUGAGGUAGGCGGAAUGUGUUGUGUAGCGGUGAAAUGCUUAGAUAUAACACAGAACUCCGAUUGCGAAGGCAGCUUACUGGGAUGCAACUGACACUGAUGCACGAAAGCGUGGGUAUCAAACAGGAUUAGAAACCCGUGUAGUCC